rnacentral:lncRNA from 1 species
UAUGGGCUCCUGUGGCCCAUUACUGGGAAGUAGGGGUGUGAGAUGAGAAGUCGAAGGUCAUCGUUGGUUGCAGAGUGAGUUCAAGGCCAGCCUUGGACAUGAACACCUAUUAACAAAAGAAAACAACAGCAGCAGGAAGACCAAGGGGUGGGAAGGAGCUCCUGCCGCAUAGUCUUGACCAGAUUCAGCCUCAGCUCCUACCUCACACACUGGGCAUCCUGUGCGUGACGGGAGGGUCACUGGGGUGCGCAGGAGGAAAAGGAGUCACAGGGGAGUAGGUGGAGAGCAGUGGGGGAGCACACUGCUCUGGUAUCUGUGCAGCCAUUGGUCAGAUGGUGCAGAAAGAGUACAUGAUACUCCCAUAGGGUUAAAACAAGAAAAGGAGAAUCACACUUUUUAUCUUCUGGCAGAUACCUUUUUUUUUUUUUUGAUUUAUUUAUUUAUUAUAUAUAAGUACACUGUGGCUGUCUUCAGGCACACCAGAAGAGGGCAUCAGAUCCAAUUACAGAUGGUUGUGAGCCGCCAUGUGGUUGCUGGGAAUUGAACUCAGGACCUCUGGAAGAGCAGUCAGUGCUCUUAACCGCUGAGCCAUCUCUCCAGCCCACUUUUUAUCUUCUUAUAUUUGGUUCUCAAUGGGACUGGAGUUGUCGUGCCCAGUUUUAACUUGAGGGGCCUAAGGUGUUAACCAGCUUUGGGGGCAGCUGGGGAGUUUUCUUCACCCCUCUCUCUGUGUUACUGAUGCAUGAUUACAUCUGUGUCUGCUCCCCUCCACCACAGUCUGCUAAUAGUGUUGGUCACCCUU